rnacentral:rRNA from 1 species
UCAGUGGCGGACGGGUGAGUAACGUGUGGGCAACCUGCCCUGCACUGGGGAAUAAUCAUUGGAAACGAUGACUAAUACCGCAUACGGUUCCUGAGAGGCAUCUUUUGGGAAAGAAAGGAUUUAUUCGGUGCAGGAUGGGCCCGCAUCUGAUUAGCUAGUUGGUGGGAUAACAGCCUACCAAGGCGACGAUCAGUAGCCGACCUGAGAGGGUGAUCGGCCACAUUGGGACUGAGACACGGCCCAAACUCCUACGGGAGGCAGCAGUGGGGAAUAUUGCACAAUGGGCGAAAGCCUGAUGCAGCAACGCCGCGUGAAGGAAGAAGGGUUUCGGCUCGUAAACUUCUAUCAACAGGGACGAAGGAAGUGACGGUACCUGAAUAAGAAGCCCCGGCUAACUACGUGCCAGCAGCCGCGGUAAUACGUAGGUGGCAAGCGUUAUCCGGAUUUACUGGGUGUAAAGGGCGUGUAGGCGGGACUGCAAGUCAGAUGUGAAAACCAUGGGCUCAACCAUGGCCUGCAUUUGAAACUGUAGUUCUUGAGUGAUGGAGAGGCAGGCGGAAUUCCGUGUGUAGCGGUGAAAUGCGGUAGAUAUACGGAGGAACAMCCAAGUGGCCGAAGCCGGCCCUGCCUGGAACAAUUAAACUGACGCUUGAAGGAAAGCCUGGGGGAGCCAACAGGAUUAGAUACCCCUGGUAGUCCACGCUGUAAACGAUGGAUACUAGGUUUGGGGGGUCUGACCCCCUGCCGUGCCGCAGCCAACGCAAUAAGUAUCCCACCUGGGGAGUACGAUCGCAAGGUUGAAACUCAAAGGAAUUGACGGGGGCCCGCACAAGCGGUGGAGUAUGUGGUUUAAUUCGAAGCAACGCGAAGAACCUUACCAGGGCUUGACAUCCCGGUGACCGCUGUAGAGAUACAGUUUCCCUUCGGGGCACCGGUGACAGGUGGUGCAUGGUUGUCGUCAGCUCGUGUCGUGAGAUGUUGGGUUAAGUCCCGCAACGAGCGCAACCCUUAUUGUUAGUUGCUACGCAAGAGCACUCUAACGAGACUGCCGUUGACAAAACGGAGGAAGGUGGGGACGACGUCAAAUCAUCAUGCCCCUUACGUCCUGGGCCACACACGUACUACAAUGGCGGUCAACAGAGCGAGGCAAAGCCGCGAGGCAGAGCGAAUCGCUAAAAGCCGUCCCAGUUCGGAUUGCAGGCUGCAACCCGCCUGCAUGAAGUUGGAAUCGCUAGUAAUCGCGGAUCAGCAUGCCGCGGUGAAUACGUUCCCGGGCCUUGUACACACCGCCCGUCACACUAUGAGAGUCGGGAACACCCGAAGUCCGUAGCCUGACCGCAAGGGGGGCGCGGCCGAAGGUGGGUUCGAUAAUUGGGGUGAAGUCGUAACAAGGUAGCC